GACGAACGCUGGCGGCGUGCCUAACACAUGCAAGUCGAACGGUAAGGCCCUUCGGGGUACACGAGUGGCGAACGGGUGAGUAACACGUGGGUGAUCUGCCCUGCACUUCGGGAUAAGCCUGGGAAACUGGGUCUAAUACCGGAUAGGACCACUGCCUGCAUGGGUGGUGGUGGAAAGCUUUUGGGGUGUGGGAUGGACCCGCGGCCUAUCAGCUUGUUGGUGGGGUGAUGGCCUACCAAGGCGACGACGGGUAGCCGGCCUGAGAGGGUGACCGGCCACACUGGGACUGAGAUACGGCCCAGACUCCUACGGGAGGCAGCAGUGGGGAAUAUUGCACAAUGGGCGCAAGCCUGAUGCAGCGACGCCGCGUGAGGGAUGACGGCCUUCGGGUUGUAAACCUCUUUCAGCACCGACGAAGCGCAAGUGACGGUAGGUGCAGAAGAAGGACCGGCCAACUACGUGCCAGCCGCCGCCGUAA
rnacentral:rRNA from 1 species